CAGUGUAGAUACGGACCUAUUCUCCCGGUUGGGCCUACCCCUCAACACCGAGAAAUCCACCCUGGUCCCUACACAAAGGCUGGACUUCAUAGGGGCAACCCUGGACUCCACUCAAGCCAGGGCCUACUUGCCUCAGCCCUGCUUCCAGACGAUAGUCUCAAUCAUCUGGGGUCUGCAGGCCUCCCCAAUCACCUCAGCUCGCACCUGCCUCGGCCUACUGGGGCAUAUGGCCGCAUGUACUUAUGUGACCAAGUAUGCCAGGCUCCGCAUGCGACCCUUUCAAAUGUGGCUCCAUUUGGUCUUCCACCUGGGCAGGGACCCUAUAGAAGUCCUGGUGACAGUUUCCCCGAGCUCCCUCCGCUCCCUCGAUUGGUGGCUAACUCCAUCCCUGGUAUGCGCAGGGAUGCCGUUCCAUCCACAGCUGCCAUCGCUGGCCUUAACGACGGAUGCGUCAUCCCUUGGUUGGGGGGCCC